rnacentral:misc_RNA from 1 species
GAUGAAGAACGUAGCGAAAUGCGAUAAGUAAUGUGAAUUGCAGAAUUCAUUGAAUCAUCGAAUCUUUGAACGCACAUUGCGCCCCUUGGUAUUCCGGGGGGCAUGCCUGUUCGAGCGUCAUUAUAACCCCUCAAGCUCAGCUUGGUGUUGGGGCCUGCCGACUGGCAGCCCUUAAAAUCAGUGGCGGCGCCAUCUGGCUCUAAGCGUAGUAAUUUCUCUCGCUAUAGAGUCCCGGUGGAUGCUUGCCAGCAACCCCCAACUUUCUAUGGUUGACCUCGGAUCAGGUAGGGAUACCCGCUGAACUUAAGCAUAUCAAUAAGCGGAGGA